rnacentral:rRNA from 1 species
UUGCACGCUGGCGGCAGGCCUAACACCUGCCAGUCGAGCGGAUGAAGGGAGCUUGCUCCUGGAUUCAGCGGCGGACGGGUGAGUAAUGCCUAGGAAUCUGCCUGGUAGUGGGGGAUAACGUCCGGAAACGGGCGCUAAUACCGCAUACGUCCUGAGGGAGAAAGUGGGGGAUCUUCGGACCUCACGCUAUCAGAUGAGCCUAGGUCGGAUUAGCUAGUUGGUGGGGUAAAGGCCUACCAAGGCGACGAUCCGUAACUGGUCUGAGAGGAUGAUCAGUCACACUGGAACUGAGACACGGUCCAGACUCCUACGGGAGGCAGCAGUGGGGAAUAUUGGACAAUGGGCGAAAGCCUGAUCCAGCCAUGCCGCGUGUGUGAAGAAGGUCUUCGGAUUGUAAAGCACUUUAAGUUGGGAGGAAGGGCAGUAAGUUAAUACCUUGCUGUUUUGACGUUACCAACAGAAUAAGCACCGGCUAACUUCGUG